ACAACACAUAAUUAAAUAUAUAGGAUUUUUAAUCAACAUGGCAUUCAAGAUUCUUGUUUUCUUCUUCUGAAUUGUGAGUUGAUGAGUUUAUGUUAUC